AAAUAAGAAACAAAUUUUGUAUUUAGUUUCGACCUAAAAUUUUGAUGGAUUCAUCCUUAUUUU
rnacentral:tRNA from 1 species